rnacentral:rRNA from 1 species
GACGAACGCUGACGGCGUGCUUAACACAUGCAAGUCGAAGAUAGUGGCGAACGGGUGAGUAACACGUGUGUACCCUGCCCUUUUCUUUGGUAUAAGCCUGGAAAACUGUGUCUAAUACAGUAUGGAGUGGUAUGGGCUCGCGGCUUAUCAGCUUGUUGGUGGGGUGAUGGCUUACCAAGGGUUUGACGGGUAGCCGGCCUUAGGGGGGGGUCGGUCAAAAUGGGACUGAGAUACGGCCCAGAAUCCUACGGGAGGGAGGAGGUGGGGAUAAUGGAAAAUGGGCGAAAGUCCGAUGGAGCGAAGUCGGGUGGGGGAUGAAGGCCUUCGGGGUUGAAACUCCUUUCGCCCGCGGAAUGGUAGUGGGUAAAGAAGCGCCGGCUAACUACGUGCCAGCAGCCGCGGUAAUUC